rnacentral:rRNA from 1 species
CCUACGGGAGGCAGCAGUGAGGAAUAUUGGUCAAUGGUCGGGAGACUGAACCAGCCAAGCCGCGUGAGGGAGGAAGGUACAGAGUAUCGUAAACCUCUUUUGUCAGGGAACAAAGGCGGGGACGUGUCCCCGGAUGAGUGUACCUGAAGAAAAAGCAUCGGCUAACUCCGUGCCAGCAGCCGCGGUAAUACGGAGGAUGCGAGCGUUAUCCGGAUUUAUGGGGUUUAACGGGUGCGCAGGCGGUAUGUUAAGUCAGCGGUCAAAGCCCGGGGCUCAACCCCGGCGCGCCGUUGAAACUGGCAGUCUCGAGUUGGAGAGAAGUAUGCGGAAUGAGCGGUGUAGCGGUGAAAUGCAUAGAUAUCGCGCAGAACUCCGAUUGCGAAGGCAGCAUGCCGGCUCCACACUGACGCUGAGGCACGAAAGCGUGGGUAUCGAACAGGAUUAGAUACCCCAGUAGUC